UGCUGCCUUGGCAAGUAAUUUUGGUGAGAACAUUGAUGCCAAAGUUAUUUCUGCCCUCGGUAAUGAAAGCACCAGCUUGUCCAUAAGCCAGAUAAAGUCUUUGAAGCCUUCAGACUUGGUGGAUUCUCUCAACAUUCUCAGCAAUGUGAUUGGUUGGAGAAAAGGACAGGCCAAAGCCAUUAUCCUGUCUUUGCUGUCUUCAGGAUUUGUACAGAUCAACAGUUCAGCCUCGCUGCUAAACCUGGGCUCCCUCAUCUCUGGCGUACCAUCAACUGUGUUCAGCAGCAUCAGCGGCUCUGAUCUUGUCACUGUAUCCAGAAACCCCUCAGUCCUGUUCUACAUCCUGUCUGCUCCACAGAUUGUUCAGCUGACUUUUGUGAUACAGAUUAUAUAUUUAAACACCAACAGUUUGCAGAUCAUAGAAAAUGUUCCAGAUAAUUUGGCUACUGAGAUUCCUGGAGUUUACCUGCUGCAGUUCCCAAAUGACAUCAGCACGGUCAUCAAACUAAAUAGAAAGAAAUGGAAACCCCA